rnacentral:rRNA from 1 species
ACUCAAAUGAAUUGACGGGGACCCGCACAAGCGGUGGAGCAUGUGGUUUAAUUCGACAAUACGCGAGGAACCUUACCAGAUCUUGACAUAUACAGGGAUAAUACAGAGAUGUAUUAGCUUGUAGCAAUACAAGCUUGUAAACAGGUGGUGCAUGGCUGUCGUCAGCUCGUGCCGUGAGGUGUUGGAUUAAGUUCCGCAACGAGCGCAACCCCUGCAUUUAGUAGCUACAUUAAGUUGAGCACUCUAAAUGGACGGUCUGCGAGAGCAGAAGGAAGGUGGGGACGAGGUCAAGUCAUCAUGCCCCUUACGAUCUGGGCUACACACGUGCUACAAUGGGAAGGAACAAAGGGAAGCGAAAUAGCAAUAUGGAGCAAAUCUCAUAAAACUUUCCUCAGUUCAGAUUGCAGUCUGCAACUCGACUGCAUGAAGUCGGAAUCGCUAGUAAUCGCGUAUCAGCAACGACGCGGUGAAUACGUUCUCGGGUCUUGUACACACCGCCCGU